GGGGUGGUAGCUCAGCUGGCUAGAGCGCUACAUUCACACUGUAGAGGUCGGGAGUUCAAGUCUCUUCCGCCCCACCA
rnacentral:tRNA from 2 species